GGAGGGGUGCCGGAGUGGUCGAACGGGCCUGACUCGAAAUCAGGUAACCCGCUACAAGCGGGUUCGGGGGUUCGAAUCCCCCCCCCUCCG
rnacentral:tRNA from 1 species